rnacentral:rRNA from 1 species
GACAGAGGCCUCAAGCGUUUAGGCGGAAUCACUGGGCUUAAAGCGUGUGUAGGCGGAUCGUUAAGUGUCUUGUGAAAUCCCACGGCUCACCCGUGGAACUGCUGGGCAUACUGGCGAUCUUGGGCCAACUAGGGGCAACUGGAACAAGCGGUGGAGCGGUGAAAUGCGUAGAUAUCGGAAGGAACACCAGUGGCGAAAGCGGCUUCCUGGUCCAGCACCGACGUCAGGCACGAAAGCGUGGGGGAGCAAACAGG